UAACCCCUUCCUCUCUGGCCUCAGUCCCAGAGAGGUAGAACUGAAUGAGUCCCCUUAUUCCUCCUUACUGUAUGAGGUUAAACCAAAGCCAAAGGAUACGCUGCAGGACAGAGCGGAAGUGCCCCACAGGGUUUCAAGGCUGUAAAUCUUCAUGGAAGCAGAUUCCUCCUGAGAGGAGAGGCUGGCUAAGAAAGCGAAGAAUCAAGAUCUAAGUCUCAAGAUCACACGGCUGGGGAGUGGUGAAGUAGAGACUUGAACUCAACUCUGCUUUCUGCCUGGGGCACCAGGGCCCUGCAGUCCCCCCAAUACUAUAAGGCCGUAGACUAGGAGUUCUCAAGCUUGAGCAUGCAGCAGGAACUCCUGGAAGACUUGUUAAACACAGAUCGCUGGGUCCCAUCCCCAGAGUUUCUGGUUCAGUAGAAUUUGCUUUUCCAACAAGUUCCCACGAGAUGCUGAUGCUGCUGGCCCAGGGACCAUAUUUUGAGCCAUUUCUGACAAAUAUAAAAUAGAUUCUUCCUUGAAGAAGCCUAAAUGACAAGACCUAAUAUGUAAAGAAAUAAAACCAACCGGAAUAUUUGCCA